UUUUAAUAGAAAUCAUUAUUAAUAAAAUCUGCUCAAUGAAAUUUUCAAUAGCCGCAAUAUUUGUGCUAAGGUAGCAUAAUCAUUUGUCUUUUAAUUAAAGACCAGAAUGAAAGAUUUAACUUUUAAAAUUUUUUAUUUAUUUUAUAUUAAAAUUAUUUUAAAUAUAAAAAAAUAUUUAUAAAAAUAAAAGACAAUAAGACCCUAUUGAAUUUAACUUAAGUUUAACUGGGGUAGUUAAUUAAAUAAAAUUUUAAUUUUAUUUAAUUAUUAAUUGAUCCGAUUUAUUCGAUUAUAUAAUUAAAUUACCAUAGGGAUAACAGCGUUAUAAAAUUUAAAAGCUCUUAUUUAAAAUUUUAAUUACGACCUCGAUGUUGAAUAAUUAAUCUAUUAAAUGCAAUAAUUUAAAAAGAAAGUCUGUUCGACUUUUAAAUAAUUACA
rnacentral:rRNA from 1 species